AACGAACGCUGGCGGCAUGCCUAACACAUGCAAGUCGAACGGGAUCCGAGCUUCGGUUCGGUGAGAGUGGCGGACGGGUGAGUAACGCGUGGGAACCUGCCCAGUGGUGGGGGAUAACUGCGGGAAACUGCAGCUAAUACCGCAUGAGCCCGAGAGGGGAAAGAUUUAUCGCCAUUGGAGGGGCCCGCGUUCGAUUAGGUAGUUGGUGGGGUAACGGCCUACCAAGCCGACGAUCGAUAGCUGGUCUGAGAGGAUGAUCAGCCACACUGGGACUGAGAUACGGCCCAGACUCCUACGGGAGGCAGCAGUGGGGAAUAUUGGACAAUGGGGGCAACCCUGAUCCAGCAAUGCCGCGUGAGUGAUGAAGGCCUUCGGGUUGUAAAGCUCUUUUGCCAGGGACGAUGAUGACGGUACCUGGAGAAUAAGCCCCGGCUAACUUCGUGCCAGCCGCCGCCGUAACAC
rnacentral:rRNA from 1 species